rnacentral:rRNA from 1 species
GCAACGCGAAGAACCUUACCCUGGUCUUGACAUCCCGGAGACCCUUAGGAAACUAGGGGGUGCUUCCAUCUGGAAGAAUCUGGAGACAGGUGCUGCAUGGCUGUCGUCAGCUCGUGUCGUGAGAUGUUGGGUUAAGUCCCGCAACGAGCGCAACCCUUGCCUUUAGUUGCCAGCAGUUCGGCUGGGCACUCUAAAGGGACUGCCGGUGUUAAACCGGAGGAAGGUGGGGAUGACAUCAAGUCCUCAUGGCCUUUAUGACCAGGGCUACACACGUACUACAAUGGCCGAUACAAAGGGCAGCGACACUGCGAGGUGAAGCCAAUCCCGUAAAAUCGGUCUCAGUCCGGAUUGGAGUCUGCAACUCGACUCCAUGAAGUUGGAAUCGCUAGUAAUCGUGGAUCAGCAUGCCACGGUGAAUACGUUCCCGGGCCUU